UAAACGGCGGCCGUAACGAUAACGGUCCUAAGGUAGCGAAUUCCUUGUCGGGUAAGUUCCGACCUGCACGAAUGGUGUAACGAUCUGGGUACUGUCUCAGCCAUGAGCUCGGUGAAAUUGUAGUAUCGGUGAAGAUGCCGAUUACCCGCAACGGGACGAAAAGACCCCCGUGAACCUUUACUAUAGCUUCACAUUGACAUUGGGUAAUUCAUGUGUAGGAUAGGUGGGAGACUUCGAGGCUGCGUCGCUAGGCGUAGAUUAGUCGUCCUUGAAAUACCACCCUUGGAUUAUCUGAUGUCUAAUCCGUCAGCUGACGGAGACAUUGUGUGGUGGGUAGUUUGACUGGGGUGGUCGCCUCCAAAAGAGUAACGGAGGCUCCUAAAGGUACCCUCAGCACGCUUGGUAACCGUGCGUAGAGUGUAAUGGCAUAAGGGUGCUUGACUGAGAGACCGACAAGUCGAUCAGGUAGGAAACUAGAGCAUAGUGAUCCGGUGGUUCCGUAUGGAAGGGCCAUCGCUCAAAAGGAUAAAAGGUACUCCGGG
rnacentral:rRNA from 1 species